UGCGAUAUCCAUCAGAGUUAAAAGUUGAUCAUGGCAAUUGCAUAAAAGUGAAAAUAACUGUUGAAUGUGUUUCUGCGAGCAUAAUGAAGAGGCCGGGGGAAAAUAACUUUUUUUUUUUCUUUUUUUUUUUUGGGGGGGGGGGGGGGGUGUGGGGGUGUUUGUAAUAUGCCAUAGUUCUAUAUUAUAUGGGAUACAAGUCUCUGAGUUUUUAUGUUCUUGAUUGAAUUAAUUAUCAUCAGUGAAAAAUUGCAUCAAAUUGAUAAAGACAUUUAAUAGGGAUGUGGGAUUUAUAUCAUUUUAGUUGUAAGUAAUAAAGAGCUGUCAAAAGUAUAGAUUCUUUGCUAAGUGCUAACGUGAUAAUGAAUUUAUAAUUGACGACCCAUCUCCUGACAAAUUCUGUGAUUUGUAUAUUACAUUUCUUUCUAAGAAUGUGAUAGCUCUCGUGUUAUGAAUUAUUCACAGUGGACGUAAAAUAUACAGUGUCUUGAAAGAGAUGCAUGAGCACAUAUAGAAACUGUUUAGAAGACCCAUCUUAGAUGACCUGUUGAUGGUUUGCUAGAGUUUUGGGCUCUGCUUUAAAUAUAUACUCAUUAUUUUUACGCGAGUUUUCCCCCUAAAUACUAAAAUAAAAUGUCUUUUCUAUAAAUUCUUCAAAAUAUAAAAUCUAUCAUCUUGUUUCUUGCAUGAUAUUCUUUACCUGUGCAUGUUUUACUUGAAUUACACGCCCCGCCAGUCCUCAAUGGUUACUUGUAUCUUGAAUUUGUACAAGGUGUGUACCUGUCACCAUGCUGUUGCUUCUGAGAUUUUCAUGGAUGUACAUUGAUACAAAACACAAACUGAUUUUAACUGUACAUGUUUUACUUCUCUGCAAUAUAAUUUUUUCCGUUUUAUUUGGCCCUAUGCUUGUUUCCUGCAUCAUCUGCAUUUUGCAG
rnacentral:lncRNA from 1 species